rnacentral:rRNA from 1 species
UACGUAGGGUGCAAGCGUUGUCCGGAAUUAUUGGGCGUAAAGAGCUUGUAGGCGGUUUGUCGCGUCUGCUGUGAAAUCCGGGGCUCAACCCCGGACUUGCAGUGGGUACGGGCAGACUAGAGUGUGGUAGGGGAGACUGGAAUUCCUGGUGUAGCGGUGAAAUGCGCAGAUAUCAGGAGGAACACCGAUGGCGAAGGCGGCCUGCUGGGGC